CGACACCAGGGAAACAAAGCUGAGUGACACCCAGCCCGUUCUGGAGAAACUCACUUUUCAGUGGCUCUGAUUGAAGAAAGCACCAGUCCUGGCCAGGGCUGGC
ensembl:lncRNA